rnacentral:rRNA from 1 species
GUAGGUGGCGAGUGGCGGACGGGUGAGGAAUACAUGGGAAUCUGCCCAGUCGUGGGGGAUAACGUAUGGAAACGUACGCUAAUACCGCAUGCGCCCUUCGGGGGAAAGCCGGGGACCUUCGGGCCUGGCGCGAUUGGAUGAGCCCAUGUCGGAUUAGCUAGUUGGGGGGGUGAAGGCCCACCAAGGCGACGAUCCGUAGCUGGUCUGAGAGGAUGAUCAGCCACACUGGAACUGAGACACGGUCCAGACUCCUACGGGAGGCAGCAGUAGGGAAUAUUGGACAAUGGGCGCAAGCCUGAUCCAGCCAUGCCGCGUGUGUGAAGAAGGCCUUCGGGUUGUAAACUGCUUUUGUACGGAACGAAAAGGUCUGCCCUAAUACGGCGGGCCCAUGACGGUACCGUAAGAAUAAGCACCGGCUAACUACGUGCCAGCAGCCGCGGUAAUACGUAGGGUGCGAGCGUUAAUCGGAAUUACUGGGCGUAAAGCGUGCGCAGGCGGUGAUGUAAGACAGUUGUGAAAUCCCCGGGCUCAACCUGGGA